rnacentral:rRNA from 1 species
UACGAAGGGGGCUAGCGUUGUUCGGAUUUACUGGGCGUAAAGCGCGUGUAGGCGGAUCGUUAAGUUGGGGGUGAAAUCCCGAGGCUCAACCUCGGAACUGCCUUCAAAACUGGCGAUCUGGACUCAAGUAGAGGCAAGUGGAAUUGCGAGUGUAGAGGUGAAAUUCGUAGAUAUUCGCAGGAACACCAGUGGCGAAGGCGACUUGCUGGACUUGUUGUGACGCUGAGACGCGAAAGCGUGGGGAGCAAACAGG